rnacentral:rRNA from 1 species
AUGAACGCUGGCGGCGUGCCUAAUACAUGCAAGUCGAGCGAACAGACGAGGAGCUUGCUCCUCUGACGUUAGCGGCGGACGGGUGAGUAACACGUGGAUAACCUACCUAUAAGACUGGGAUAACUUCGGGAAACCGGGGCUAAUACCGGAUAAUAUAUUGAACCGCAUGGUUCAAUAGUGAAAGACGGUUUUGCUGUCACUUAUAGAUGGAUCCGCGCCGCAUUAGCUAGUUGGUAAGGUAACGGCUUACCAAGGCAACGAUGCGUAGCCGACCUGAGAGGGUGAUCGGCCACACUGGAACUGAGACACGGUCCAGACUCCUACGGGAGGCAGCAGUAGGGAAUCUUCCGCAAUGGGCGAAAGCCUGACGGAGCAACGCCGCGUGAUUGAUGAAGGUCUUCGGAUCGUAAAACUCUGUUAUUAGGGAAGAACAAAUGUGUAAGUAACUAUGCACGUCUUGACGGUACCUAAUCAGAAAGCCACGGCUAACUACGUG